GACGGAGGGGGCUAGCGUUUUUCGGAAUUACUGGGCGUAAAGGGCGCGUAGGCGGAUUAGUAAGUUGGGAGUGAAAGCCCGGGGCUUAACCUCGGAACUGCUUUCAAAACUGCUAGUCUUGAGUGAAGUAGGGGAUGAUGGAAUUCCUAGUGUAGAGGUGAAAUUCUUAGAUAUUAGGAGGAACACCGGUGGCGAAGGCGGUCAUCUGGACUUCAACUGACGCUGAGGCGCGAAAGCGUGGGGAGCAAACAGG
rnacentral:rRNA from 1 species